UACAGAGGUCUCAACCGUUGUUCGGAUUCAUUGGGCGUAAAGGGUGCGUAGGCGGUCGCGCAAGUCGGAUGUGAAAUCUCAGGGCUCAACCCUGAACUGCAUUCGAUACUGCGUGGCUAGAGUGCUGGAGGGGAGACUGGAAUUUACGGUGGUAGCAGUGAAAUGCGUAGAUAUCGUAAGGAAGACCAGUGGCGAAGGCGAGUCUCUGGACAGCGAACUGACGCUGAGGCACGAAGGCCAGGGGAGCAAACGGG
rnacentral:rRNA from 1 species